rnacentral:rRNA from 1 species
AGUGAACGCUGGCGGUAGGCCUAACACAUGCAAGUCGAACGGCAGCACAGUAAGAGCUUGCUCUUACGGGUGGCGAGUGGCGGACGGGUGAGGAAUACAUCGGAAUCUACUUUUUCGUGGGGGGUAACGUAGGGAAACUUACGCUAAUACCGCAUACGACCUACGGGUGAAAGCAGGGGAUCUUCGGACCUUGCGCGAUUGAAUGAGCCGAUGUCGGAUUAGCUAGUUGGCGGGGUAAAGGCCCACCAAGGCGACGAUCCGUAGCUGGUCUGAGAGGAUGAUCAGCCACACUGGAACUGAGACACGGUCCAGACUCCUACGGGAGGCAGCAGUGGGGAAUAUUGGACAAUGGGCGCAAGCCUGAUCCAGCCAUACCGCGUGGGUGAAGAAGGCCUUCGGGUUGUAAAGCCCUUUUGUUGGGGAAGAAAAGCAGCAGGUUAAUACCCCGCUGUUCUGACGGUACCAAAAGAAUAAGCACCGGCUAACUUCGUG